UGAAACAUCUCAGUACCCACAGGAAGAGAAAACAACAGUGAUUCCGGUAGUAGUGGCGAGCGAAACCGGAACAGGCCAAACCGAUCAUGUGUGAUAGCCGGCAGGCGUUGCAUGGUCGGGGUUGUGGGACUCUUGCGGUUUUCUGCCGAAAACCACGUAGAUAGUUGUUGUAUAGACAAAUGGUCUUGAAAGGCCAGCCGCAGAGGGUGCCAGCCCCGUAGUUGAAAUGCAGCACUAAUGCGAAGAGGAUCCCAAGUAUCACGGGGCCCGAGAAAUCCCGUGUGAAUCUGCCAGGACCACCUGGUAAGCCUAAAUACUCCCAGAUGACCGAUAGCGGACAAGUACCGUGAGGGAAAGGUGAAAAGUACCCCGGGAGGGGAGUGAAAUAGUACCUGAAACCGUGUGCUUACAAUCCGUCAGAGGCUUUCGGGCUGAUGGCGUGCCUUUUGAAGAAUG
rnacentral:rRNA from 1 species